rnacentral:rRNA from 1 species
UACGUUUCCCUCGGCGGGCUCAGCGCGUUGCGGUUCUGCCGCCUCGCGUCCGCCGGGGGCACCCAAACUCGAAUUUAUAUCGUGUAUCUCUGAGGGGCGAAAGCCCGUAAAACAAAUGAAUCAAAACUUUCAACAACGGAUCUCUUGGCUCUGGCAUCGAUGAAGAACGCAGCGAAAUGCGAUAAGUAAUGUGAAUUGCAGAAUUCAGUGAAUCAUCGAAUCUUUGAACGCACAUUGCGCCCGCCGGCACUCCGGCGGGCAUGCCUGUCCGAGCGUCAUUUCAACCCUCGGGCCCACCCCUCGCGGGGAACGGGCCCGGCGUUGGGGACCGGAGGCCGCCCCGGCGGCACCCGCCCCCUAAAUUCAGUGGCGGUCGCGCCGCAGCCUCCCCUGCGUAGUAGCACACCUCGCACCGGAGAGCGGCACGGCCACGCCUCGAAACCCCCCAAUUUUUCAGGUUGACCUCGGAUCAGGUAGGAAUACCC